rfam:Alligator mississippiensis ScZkoYb_8, whole genome shotgun sequence.
AUAUUUUUUCCAAAAAACCCCAAAUCUAUUCUCAUUAGCUGUGAUAUCUGAUGCAUCCUCCACGGAGGGCUGCGUGUUCGGCCAAUUUUGGUUCUGGAGGUGGAAUCAGAGCUUGCUCCAUCCCCUCCAUGCAUCGGCCUGGUUAGCCCAAUUAGCGCCACUGCUUCCAGGAGCGGUGCACCCCUU